GAAAUGCGAUAAGUAAUGUGAAUUGCAGAAUUCAGUGAAUCAUCGAAUCUUUGAACGCACAUUGCGCUCGCCAGUAUUCUGGCGGGCAUGCCUGUCCGAGCGUCAUUUCAACCAUCAAGCCCCCGGGCUUGUGUUGGGGACCUGCGGCUGCCCGCAGGCCCUGAAAACCAGUGGCGGGCUCGCUGUCACACCGAGCGUAGUAGCAAUCACCUCGCUCAGGGCGUGCUGCGGGUUCCGGCCGUUAAACAGCCUUACAAAACCCAAGGUUGACCUCGGAUCAGGUAGGAAGACCCGCUGAACUUAAGC
rnacentral:misc_RNA from 1 species